rnacentral:rRNA from 1 species
AGGAUGAACGCUGGCGGCGUGCCUAACACAUGCAAGUCGAACGUCCUGUCUCGCAAGAGGCAGGGAGUGGCGGACGGGUGAGUACCACGUGGGUCAUCUACCGUGAGGUGAGGAAUACCGGCGAGAAAUCGCCGACAAGACCGCAUAGGCUCGAUGCAAGUCGAGCAAAGCUCUUUCGAGAGAGGGAGCGCCACACGAGGAGCCUGCGCCCAAUUAGCUAGCUGGUGGAGUAACGGUUCACCAGGGCGACGAUCGGUAGCUGGUCUGAGAGGACGAUCAGCCACACUGGGAUUGAGAACGGCCCAGACUCCUACGGGGGGCAGCAGUGAGGAAUUUCGUCAAUGGGGGCAACCCUGAACGAGCAACGCCGCGUGCAGGAAGAAGGUUUCGGAUCGUAAACUGCUUUUCUCGGGAAGAGAACGGACGGUACCCGAGGAAUCAGCCCGCUAACUACGUGCCAGCAGCCGCGGU